CUCCCCGCGGGCCGGGCCGCUCCUUCAGCGCUGUUCGCCCCGAGGCCCGGCGGCAGCGCGGCGCCGCGCCCUGCUCACCCCAACGGGCCGAGGCGGUGUGAGGGCGCGGGCAGCCCCUGCGGCAGGUGCGGGGCCGGCAUGCUGACAGCGCGCAUUCAGUCCGCGUGAAACGGAUGACAAAACCAUGCUCCGCUGGAGCGUUCCAGUGCGUGUCAGAAACGUCUGAGAUAAUUUUUAGGAGACAGGAUCUCUGGUGAAGAAAUUCUAAUUCGCGAUUGCAGUGCUGGGCGUCCUGCCAACAGGAGAGCACCUACGGGAACAACAUUACAGCUUUUGUACCGUGUCUCCCCCAAACUCACCCCCUCCCACGUUUCUCCACUGGCUGGUACUGCGGGUUCACAAUCUUACCGAAGUUCCAGUGCAGAAACAACAUUCCAUUCCUACACUCCACGAGCAGAUGUGAAGUCCUCUUGAGCCUCCAGAGGAGGUGCCGUAGGCUGAGCUGUUCCCGGAUCUUCUGCUUUACAAUUCCGUGCUUUCUUGGCUUGGUAGGUUUAUUCAACCCUCUCUGUUUACAUAUCCUCCAUAACUCAUGUGUUGGAAAACCAUCAAUCUUAUAAUGAGACAUACCAUCUGUUAAUAAAGCUGCAAAUAUUUUUUUUUUUCCCAAGAAAUCCUGUUUGCACUGUUUUUAGGAUUGUCUUGAGUGUCUUGGUUUCCUGCACUUCCCCAGGAAUCCCAUUCUCCAAGGUCAUCUAGAUGCUGAAUUUUUUCAGUUACCUUGUCGAGAAGAUUUCCUUUGUCAUUAAUCAGAUUUCACGCCUACAAAUUCAUCUAGGAGCCCAGCCUCAUCAGAAUGCAUAGAAUCCCAAAUAUCUCUAUUCCAUCUUUUGGGAUCCCACUGUACGCCUGCUUCUGUUAUCAAUAAAUGCACAUUCCUAUGAUUCAUUCAUCCUCUCUUUCUCAUAUCUGUACUGCACAACACAAACUGCAGUCCUUGUGGCUGCAGUCUGAUAAGCAUCCAACUAAAUGAUGAGCAACUGUAUUUUGACACUGUAACAUUACAGUUUGAUUCCACAGAUCACACAGCUGUUGCUCCAUGGGGGAGCAUUCUGAUAACUGCUCUAUCUGUUGGUGCUGUUACCUGUGUGCUGUUAACAGAAUCCACCUCCACCUUCCCAAACACAUUAUUUCUUUUUUUCAAUAGGCAGUUUUUGGAUACAUUUCGAUCUAUCCAAUGAUUCAGCUUCUUUCAACUGACUUUCCCAUUGUUCACACCGCCAACCUUAGCUCACUCAAGAGCCAGUGGACUAUAGGGAUGGUCUUCCCACCUGGGGAUUUCAGGUGGAACUGAAAUUUUGCAGCAUUUUUUUUCUGAUCCUGCCUGUGAUGUCAAUUUACGUUUUGCCAAUGGACAGGGCCAGCAUAAAGGACAAAAACACCAAGUUAAAGAAGUGGGUUUAUCUUUACUUAUGUUUAAAGCAAUGAAAUUCUAAGUGAAACGAUGCAGCAAGAAUAAAACAAAACAAGGUAAUGCAUGUAAUUGUUACUACAUAAGAUUAACUGCAGUGACUAAGAAAGAUACACUGCUGAUUGCCCUUAUACUUUACCAUCAUCCAGAUCCACAAUUGCUGGGGAGCUCUGGUUACAGCAAGGAUUUGGAGAACCUUUCCUGGCAAUUGUGAGGUCCUGAGCGGUUUGUCCACUCGUAGGUGAGAUCUCCAGAGUCACUGCCAAGGGGUCCAACUUUUAUAUAGAUGAAUAAACAAGUUUACGGAACUUCAAAUACAGAAACAUCUUGUUUCAUCCUUUUGGAUUCUACCCAACGCCUGGGCAGGUCACUAGGAGGAACUGGGGGAGCUUCCCUAUCUGUUUAGGCUUUAACCGCAUGUUUCUCAACAAGGUCAGAUGUCUGGUUUCAGAGUCUUGCAACAUGCACCUAAAUAAAGAAAGAUUCACUAACUAUAACUUACACAAAAAGCGUUACAACAGAUCUUUAUGAAUUGCCACCAAAUAUAUAUAUAUUCAUGUUAAAACAGCAAAAUAGAUAAAUAUUGUAUUGUAUGUGUGGUAUAGUAUUUGGUUGUGAGGUUUAUCUAGAGGUCAACUUUGGUUCAGGGCAUGUUGUUCAGGCUUUAGUGCCUCAGGCCUUUCAGCAUCUAAAGGGGGGCUAUAAGAAAGGAGGAAACAGAAUUUAGCUGGGUCUGUUGUGACAGGACAAGGGGAGUCAUCCAAGACCAGGCUGGGCGAAGCUCUGAGCAACCUGAUCUUGUUGUAGGUGUCCCUGUUCAUAGCAGGGGAAUUGGACUAGAUGACUCAAAUGAUUCUGUGACUGUAUGAUCUUCUCAGGCACAGGGGUGAGGCUGACCAAUUGGUAGUUCCCAGCGUACUCCUUCAUACCCUUUUAAAAAUGAGAGUGAUCUUUCCCUUCUUUCCAGUCACCAGGGACUUCAACUGACAGCCAUGACUUUUCAAAUAUGAUGAAGAGUGGCUCGGCAACAACGUGAGCCAAUUCCUUCAAUACCCUGGGAUGCAUGUCAUUAGGCAUGCAGACAUGUAUGUUUAGGUUCAUCAGGUGUUCUCAAACCCAAUCUUCACUUACAGAGGGAAGUGCUUUGCUCCCUCAGUUCCUCCUCUGAGGUUCAGGGUCUUGAGAGUUGUAGGGAGACUGCCAGUAAAGACAGAAUCAAAAAGGUUUUUGCAUAUCUCAGCCUUCUGUGUGUCUGUUGUCACCAGUUUGCUCCUCUGGCUCCCUCUUUUCUGACCAACGUAUCUGUAAAAUCCCUUAUAAUUCUUUGCAUCCCUUGCCAAGUUCAGUUGCUUCUGUGCCUUAUCUUUCCCGAUCCUAUAUUUGACCACCCAUCCCUGCCUCUGCUGCCUGUACUUUUCCUUCUUAUCCCUCAGUUUGAACAGUAGGUCUUUGUUCAACCACUCUGGCCUCCUUCCUCCUCUGCUUGAUUUCUUACACAUGGGGAUGGAGAGCUCCUGCACUCUGUGAAAGGCGUACUUAAAGAGUUGCCAGCUCUUCAAGUUAGUUCCUUUAUCCCUAAUGACAAUUUCCAGGGGAUCUCAUCCACUAAUUCUCUGAAGAACUGGAAAUGUGCUCCUGUAAAAUUCAAGGUCCUGACUUUACCCUUUGCCAGCCUCAUAUCCCUCAAGAUCAUGAACUCCACGCCAGAGCAUGAUCACUGCAGCCCAGUUUGCUUCCAAUUUUAACCUCUCUAAUUACACCAUCUGUUGGUGAGCACCACAUUCAGUAAAGCUUCGCCUCUUAAUUUCUCAGCUUUUUUGUAUGAUUUCAAGCUAUCUUUGCUACUGCAAACAAAGUCAGCAACAGUAGCAAUAAGGUUCCCUGUAAAAAGACUCCCUCACUUCAUCUGCUUUAUCAUCUGUGUUUGUGUGCUGUAAUAUUUAAGAUAACUAUUUAGAACCUUAUUUCUAGUCUUAAAAUACCCUGACUACAAGCUAUUACACUGUCUACAUGUGUAGAUAACACCAAAAAAGGAAUCAGUAUGGACUGUGGGUUGUACUGCAGAAAACGCCUUCCUAUUGUGAGUGCAAACAAAAAAUUGAUGCUCUAGGGGAAAAAAAAAAAAAAAAGCAGGUUAUAAGAUGAAUCAGUGUUAAAUUUGGUGUUCUGCUGGGAACCGAAGAGCCCAGAAUUACUUUAGGGGUACGGUCUAUUAAAGGCAUACAGGUGGUGCUCUGCCAUCUGCGCAUAUUGAAGUUAGAGCUGCGGUGCUUACCACUGUCACAAGAUUAUUUCUGUCAAUCAGAUGGUUAUUUAGUCUCAGACAACACCAGCUCACAGAGAUUCUGGGGGACCCCACCACAGUUCAGUCACCAUUGCAGC